CUACUUGUAUAAAUAAAGAGAUACAUCUCUUUACCAAAGGAUCUUCUCUUCUUGAUUCUAAUCUAGAACACUUUUUUAUAGAGAUUUAUAGAUUCUAAAGUUCACUUUACGUAUCAUCUUUGUAAUGAUCUUUAAUCAAUAAAUCCCUUUGAUGUUCCAUUUUCUCAUUUGAUUUUUCUUAAACCUCAAAAAUCUAAUAUUUAUCAUUAGAUUCUUUAUUGUAUGAUCCCAACAAACAACACCAACAUAAACACUGUUUUUGGGUCAAACAGUUGGCGCUAUAAAGAGGGGGUCGAAGGAGAACUAUCUUCGAAGCAUUUUGAACUUGGGAAAAUACUAGAUCUAACUUCAUCUCAAGCUAAAGGAAGAAGCUUUUUCAUGAAAACUUUUAUUUUGAUGUCGCCAAAGUCAUCACCGAAAAGAGAUAAGUUUUCACAAUCCUAUUUCAUUAUCAAAAUUAUAGUCAUUAUGACAAUAUCUUAUACACAUAUGCGAGUGUAAAGAGAAUUUUAAUGAUUCGAUUCCAAAUCCAUUUUUAGGAUUAAUAAUGAUCGGCCACUUUGGAGCUAUAUUCGUUGGGUUUAACGACAAAUAAAUUUCAAGACAAAAGCCCAAAUUGAGCCAAACAAACUGCUGGCCAUCUCCUCCCAAAGCUCGAGAAUUAAUGUUUGGACGAGUGGUGGCCUCUGUUUCCUCUUGGCUGAGAAAGAUUGCAACUAAGCUCGAGAAUUGAUCUCGGCGAAUCUCACGAGCUUGAUCUUGCAACACCUGAAACUCUCAGUCCAUAAACUAGCUCCCGACUGGUGCUUCGAUGUAUAGCUUCACGCGAACCCGACGAAGAUGGUCCGAGAUGAAAAAGGAAGAGUUGUGGCCAGUCAACGGCGAUCUCGUCAUGCCUCCGUCUCGGUCCGCCGGUGAAGCUUCUGGGACUGCUCGAGCUUCUUUCCAGUCCGUGAAACAGGAUCUACCCAGCGUGUUGCGAUGAACAGCCAAGAACACGAGGACAGAGAGAAACGCGAAGACGCCAAAGCCAUCGACCUCGCUGUCUCGUCAAAGCUUAAGAAUUGAUCUCUGGAAGCCUCGCCAUCUCAACGAAGCUGAAGACUUGAUCUCUAGAAAGCUCAAAACUUUAUCUCGUCACAAGCUCGACUCUUUUCCCUUCCAUUCGUCGAAACAGAUCAGUAGCAACAAAGAGGGGCCUUGAACCAAGCACUUACUCUGCCUCAAGGAACAAUGGGGACUGAUCAGACUCCCGUUGGGCGUUAUCAGCGUCUGCAUGGCGUAUUUCUUUGCUAAGGCUUUGCUGUGCAAGACGAUACCUUUGGAUGUCGUGGAAGGAAAGACUGGAAGCUAGCAGUGGCUUACCACGGACAGCGUAAUGGGAAGAGGUGAUACCGGUGGUUCUUGCAAUGGGACCGUGGUAUUGUGAAGCGUGCUUAUGUGGAAUGUCAUCACAAGCUUGCCGUCUCGGCACGUGCUUCUUGUCUAGAAGAAACAGCACCUGAAACAUAACCUUAUCUCUAGGUCACCUCUCCAUGAAGCCACGACUUGUUACUCCCAGCAACUCAGCAAUCAUCUCAGAGUUCGAUCUCCGUCGCCGUUAUACAAGAGUUCUCGAGCUUCUCGUCACAAAAAUCAAUAUUUGUGAUCUCAGUACAAAGGCUUUGUCGUCAGGAGCUUGUACGACACUUUAUACUCUGUUCGUCUAUGCUUUGAACUCGCAAGUCUUGAGCAUGACGUGAUUCCAACAAGGCUAGUCCACUCAUCUCCAACGUCACGAUGCUACCUUCUUCAAAGUUGCCGACGCAUUAAAAAAAAAGAUAAGUUUUUGAACCUUAUAAUAUGACCUACGAGUAUUAGAAGUUGCGUUGCUAAAUAAUCACUGGAUCAUCAUCCUCUUAUUAUGAGCUCCGCCUUGUCUCGUAACGUGUUUAGAAAGUUAAUUGUCUAGCUUUUUCUUCUCGUGAAUAAGCAUGUUACACAUUGAUAUACAUACGUAUAUCACGCUUGACCAUAUUAUUUUAAUGGUAACAGGAAAUCUGUUCACGGCAACUUUAGUGUAAGCUCUACAACUUGGCCUAAGCGUUGAGCACGAUGGUUUCUUCAUCAUGAUUAACUCGGCAUCUCAUUCUUAGACGAUUCGUUCUCAGCGGCCUAUGCAUCCCGUCGUCGGCAGCCUAGUCUUGAUCUUGGGAAACAUCUUCCAUGACCGACCACACCAGUCACGGCAUGCAACACGUAGGUCAACAAGACAACUCAACCCACCGAUGUCAUCAUUUCGUUGGAUCGCAUCAAUACUGCGAAGACAUGUCUACCUAUGGCAAUUUGAUUGUGACGGUUCGUUAUGGCGGUACGUUCAUGAUGAUGUCUAUGGCGAUUUGUCCUUGGCAGCUAGUUGAUUGACGCUUCAUCCAUGACAACUUGCUCCGGUGGUUCAGAACACUGUCCUCACAGAUCGUUCGCGCAACCAAAGUCUGAUCGGAAUCAGAAGUAUAUCGAUGACAGCUCGCCCGGGACGGUCCGUCCAUGACACUUCAUUUAUGGCAACCUAACAAUGACAGUCCGUUCAUGACAAUCGUCUACGACAUGGGCACCAGCUUGACGAUGGGUACUUUUCAGAAAAGACAACCACAGCUAUCCUUGAAGUCCUAAUCGCUUGUUUAAGCUCUGGAUCGAGCGAGUGGCUUCUCUCGAUAUCAUU